AUUGAACGCUGGCGGCAUGCUUUACACAUGCAAGUCGAACGGUAACAGGCCUUCGGGUGCUGACGAGUGGCGAACGGGUGAGUAAUGCAUCGGAACGUGCCCAGAGGUGGGGGAUAACGCAGCGAAAGCUGUGCUAAUACCGCAUGUGAUCUGAGGAUGAAAGCGGGGGACCAAGCAGCAAUGUUUGGCCUCGCGCCUCUGGAGCGGCCGAUGUCAGAUUAGGUAGUUGGUGGGGUAAAGGCCUACCAAGCCGACGAUCUGUAGCUGGUCUGAGAGGACGACCAGCCACACUGGGACUGAGACACGGCCCAGACUCCCACGGGAGGCAGCAGUGGGGAAUUUUGGACAAUGGGCGCAAGCCUGAUCCAGCAAUGCCGCGUGCGGGAAGAAGGCCUUCGGGUUGUAAACCGCUUUUGUACGGAACGAAAAGGCUCUGGCUAAUACCUGGGGCUGAUGACGGUACCGUAAGAAUAAGCACCGGCUAACUACGUG
rnacentral:rRNA from 1 species